GACGUAGGGCGCGAGCGUUGUCCGGAUUUAUUGGGCGUAAAGAGCUCGUAGGCGGCUUGUCGCGUCGACUGUGAAAACCCGUGGCUCAACCAUGUGGUCUGCAGUCGAUACGGGCAGGCUAGAAUUCGGUAGGGGAGACUGGAAUUCCUGGUGUAGCGGUGAAAUGCGCAGAUAUCAGGAGGAACACCGGUGGCGAAGGCGGAUCUCUGGGCCGAUACUGACGCUGAGGAGCGAAAGCGUGGGGAGCGAACAGG
rnacentral:rRNA from 1 species